ACGGCCGCACCACGCUGAAUAUACCGGUUCUCGUUAGAUCACCGAAGUUAAGCAUCAUUGGGCGCGGUCAGUACUUGGGUGGGUGACCACCUGGGAACACUGCGUGCCGUU
rnacentral:rRNA from 1 species